rnacentral:rRNA from 1 species
UGGAAAGGCGUGCGAUACAGGGUGACAGCCCCGUACACAAAAAUGCACAUAUUGUGAGCUUGAUGAGUAGGGCGGGACACGUGGUAUCCUGUCUGAAUAUGGGGGGACCAUCCUCCAAGGCUAAAUACUCCUGACUGACCGAUAGUGAACCAGUACCGUGAGGGAAAGGCGAAAAGAACCCCGGCGAGGGGAGUGAAAAAGAACCUGAAACCGUGUACGUACAAGCAGUGGGAGCACGCUUAGGCGUGUGACUGCGUACCUUUUGUAUAAUGGGUCAGCGACUUAUAUUCUGUAGCAAGGUUAACCGAAUAGGGGAGCCGAAGGGAAACCGAGUCUUAACUGGGCGUUAAGUUGCAGGGUAUAGACCCGAAACCCGGUGAUCUAGCCAUGGGCAGGUUGAAGGUUGGGUAACACUAACUGGAGGACCGAACCGACUAAUGUUGAAAAAUUAGCGGAUGACUUGUGGCUGGGGGUGAAAGGCCAAUCAAACCGGGAGAUAGCUGGUUCUCCCCGAAAGCUAUUUAGGUAGCGCCUCGUGAAUUCAUCUCCGGGGGUAGAGCACUGUUUCGGCAAGGGGGUCAUCCCGACUUACCAACCCGAUGCAAACUGCGAAUACCGGAGAAUGUUAUCACGGGAGACACACGGCGGGUGCUAACGUCCGUCGUGAAGAGGGAAACAACCCAGACCGCCAGCUAAGGUCCCAAAGUCAUGGUUAAGUGGGAAACGAUGUGGGAAGGCCCAGACAGCCAGGAUGUUGGCUUAGAAGCAGCCAUCAUUUAAAGAAAGCGUAAUAGCUCACUGGUCGAGUCGGCCUGCGCGGAAGAUGUAACGGGGCUAAACCAU